AGUGGAGAGAUGACGGCAGAAGGAAUGACAACAACAAAAAAGAAGAAAAAAGAGAGGGUUGAAGAGAAAUUAAGAUAACAGCUCCUAAAAUAGAUAUUCAAGGUCAACGGCGGCGUCCUCAGCCUUGUGAGGCCAAAGCAGGCCUGUGUUUAUAAGUGUGCGUGUGUGUGUGUGUGUGUGUGUGUGUCUACUUACCAACCAAGCCAACAGCAUGCAGCCCAACAUGCUCAUCAUGCUCAUACACAUGAGUAGAGCGUGUUCACCGUGGUGCCUGUGUCUUUGUGUAGCCACACCGUUGUUCUCCUGACUGCCAAGGUCAGCUGGUAAAUCCCUCCUCACUUACUUUGCGUGGAGUCAAAUCAGCAGUUUCCUCCAUCCCCCAUUUUUUCUGUACACGGCGGUUCUCUCAAUCCCUCUCUUCUGCCUCUAUUUUUAACCAGCUUAGCAUCAUUACCUGGCUGCCGAUUCACAAAGUCUGUUAAUCCUACAACACCGCGACUGCACAGAUCAUUGCUAGUUUCCAGAAAAGUAAUGCAGCGACGCUCAGGAACAGUUUCCCCUCAAUAAUUAGUCCUUUUUGGUUUAAUUAAACUAUUUUUGAUAUUCAAACUUU